CGCUGGCGGCAGGCCUAACACAUGCAAGUCGAGCGCACCCUUCGGGGCGAGCGGCGGACGGGUGAGUAACGCGUGGGAACGUACCCUUUUCUAAGGAAUAGCCACUGGAAACGGUGAGUAAUACCUUAUACGCCCUUCGGGGGAAAGAUUUAUCGGAGAAGGAUCGGCCCGCGUUAGAUUAGAUAGUUGGUGGGGUAACGGCCUACCAAGUCUACGAUCUAUAGCUGGUUUUAGAGGAUGAUCAGCAACACUGGGACUGAGACACGGCCCAGACUCCUA
rnacentral:rRNA from 1 species